rnacentral:rRNA from 1 species
UCGUCCUGCUUUCCGAGCUCAUCGACGUCGCCCGCACCGGCACGCCCCUGACCGCCGGAGGAGAAGACCAUAUAAUCGUCCUUCCUACCGGUCGGCUGAUAGGUCUUAGCCGCCGCCAAAACGUCUUUUUCGCUUAAAUUUCGUUCUUUCAUCACGCGCUCUAAGUCGCUAUCUGCGGCACACAGGGCGCUUGCGGCGAACAAAACCGAGCCCAAAAGCACGGGUUUGAAACUUUUUAACAUACUAAUCCUUUCUUAGAAUUUUAAAAUUUAGCAACAAAAAGCAAAAAGACAAGCCUAAGUAAAGUAUAAAUACUCAUAGACACUGUGGUAGGAGAGCGUUCCAAUCAGCGUUGAAGCCGUACCGGUAAGGAGCGGUGGAGCGGUUGGAAGUGAGCAUGCAGGCAUGAGUAGCGAUAAAAUACGUGAGAAUCGUAUUCGCCGUAAACCCAAGGUUUCCUACGCGAUGCUCGUCAUCGUAGGGUUAGUCGGGUCCUAAGCAAAGUCCGAAAGGGGUAUGCGAUGGAAAAUCGGUUAAUAUUCCGAUACCGAUAUCAGUGUGCGACGGAAGGACGCUUAAAGUUAGUGGAGCUAGCGGAUGGAAGUGCUAGUCUAAGGAAGUAGGUUGAGUUAUAGGCAAAUCCGUAACUCUUUAUCCGAGAUCUGAAAGGCUUCUGACGCUCUUCGGAGUAGAUGAAGAAUCCAUGAUACUAUCGAGCCGAGAAAAGUUUCUAAGUUUAGCUGAUAUCGCCCGUACCGUAAACCGACACAGGUGGGUGGGAUGAGUAUUCUAAGGCGCGUGGAAGAACUCUCUUUAAGGAACUCUGCAAAAUAGCACCGUAUCUUCGGUAUAAGGUGUGCCUAGCUUCGUUAAGAAUUUACUUCGUAAGCGAAGAAGGUUACAACAAAGAGUCCCUCCCGACUGUUUACCAUAAACACAGCACUCUGCUAACUCGUAAGAGGAUGUAUAGGGUGUGACGCCUGCCCGGUGCUCGAAGGUUAAUUGAUGACGUUAGCUUACGCGAAGCGUCUGAUCGAAGCCCGAGUAAACGGCGGCCGUAACUAUAACGGUCCUAAGGUAGCGAAAUUCCUUGUCGGUUAAAUACCGACCUGCAUGAAUGGCGUAACGAGAUGGGAGCUGUCUCAAAGAGGGAUCCAGUGAAAUUGUAGUGGAGGUGAAAAUUCCUCCUACCCGCGGCAAGACGGAGAGACCCCGUGGACCUUUACUAUAGCUUGACACUGCUACUUGGAUAAAGAUGCGCAGGAUAGGUGGGAGGCUUCGAUUCGUAGAUCUCGGUCUGCGAUGAGCCAUUGUUGAGAUACCACUCUUCUUUAUUCGGGUAGCUAACUAGCCUAAGUUAUCCUUAGGUAGGACAAUGUCUGGUGGGUAGUUUGACUGGGGCGGUCGCCUCCCAAAAUGUAACGGAGGCUUACAAAGGUUGGCUCAAAGCGGUUGGAAAUCGCUUGCAGAGUAUAAAGGCAAAAGCCAGCUUAACUGCGAGACAUACAUGUCGAGCAGAGACGAAAGUCGGUCUUAGUGAUCCGGUGGUUCUGUGUGGAAGGGCCAUCGCUCAAAGGAUAAAAGGUACCCCGGGGAUAACAGGCUGAUCUCCCCCAAGAGCUCACAUCGACGGGGAGGUUUGGCACCUCGAUGUCGGCUCAUCGCAUCCUGGGGCUGUAGUCGGUCCCAAGGGUUGGGCUGUUCGCCCAUUAAAGCGGUACGCGAGCUGGGUUCAGAACGUCGUGAGACAGUUCGGUCCCUAUCUGCCGUGGGCGUAAGAAGAUUGAGGAGAGUUGACCCUAGUACGAGAGGACCGGGUUGAACCGACCACUGGUGUACCGGUUGUUCUGCCAAGAGCACCGCCGGGUAGCUAAGUCGGGAUGCGAUAAGAGCUGAAAGCAUCUAAGCUCGAAGCCGACUCCAAGAUGAAUCUUCUUUUAAGAGCUCUAGUAGACUACUAGUUUGAUAGGCCGGAUGUGUAAUGGAUGAAAGUCCUUUAGCUGACCGGUACUAAUAGCUCGUUUGCUUAUCUUUU